CAAACUCACUUCAGUGGAGAAGCAUUCUCUAGAAGCCAACAGCCUUAUAUCAGUACAUUCUUCCAAUUCUGGGCACUGUAGGCAGCUUUACUAGACGAGAAAUAGGACAAAGUCUUGCCCAAUGUGGUCUAAUUUCUUCUCUCUUAGAAACAGCAUCUGAAUUGUUAUCUGUGAUACUCUUCACAUCUAUUUAAGAUAAAUUUGGAAAAUGUUGCUAAAGCCUUGGAAAUAAACGUCUCAAACCCAGAGACGCUUAAAAAUCA
rnacentral:lncRNA from 1 species